CUAUAAACAUCCAUCCCCCAUCCCUCCCUUUUCUCACUCUGUAAUUUCCCUCAGAUCCCUCACCGAUUCUCUCUCUCGCCAGCCGCGAACUCCUUGACAGCUCGCCAUUCUCACUCUGUAUGUUCAGCUGAGAUAACUCAUUCAACCGCAGAAACGAGGUGUGAAGGAAGUGGGAAAUGGCGAGCGCAGUGGACCCAAUUUCAUGGCAGGUAACCAUCUUCAGUUUUUCGGUUUGAUUUAAAGGAAUUUUUUAGGCAGAAAAGCUAGGGCUUUCCGUUCCCACUCAGAAGUUUGUACUGCCUCAUCAUUAGAACUGUUUCCGUCUGCUCUUCUUCUUGAAACAAGGUCGCAGAUCCACAGGCCAUCAAGAUAAUUUGGUUCAUGCUAAAGUUAUUGAACGUACGAUGGAACCAGUGAUCUUUCAAAAAGUCUUGUUGAAGGAAAUGUGGGUGUUGGAGCUAGGUAAACCAAGGAGGGUGUCUACGUAGAGGGAGUGGUAGCUCUUCAAUAUAACACCAUUUUCUGUGGCUCAAAUCGCAAAACCAUCUUCAUGAAAGUUGUUCCUUAGCUCGUGAACUAUAACAUAUCCGAAUUGGAGAUCCACCGGAGCAGUACAACUCCAGAAAUUCAGAUCAACAUACUUUCUUCAUCGAAGUUGUUCCUUAACUUGUGAACUACAACAUAUCCAA